GACGGAGGAUGCAAGUGUUAUCCGGAAUCACUGGGCGUAAAGCGUCUGUAGGUGGUUUAAAAAGUCUGCUGUUAAAAUUGAAGCUUAACUUCAAAGAUGCCGUAGAAACUUUAAACUAGAGUAUGAUAGGGUAGAGGGAAUUCCCAGUGUAGAGGUGAAAUUCGUAGAUAUCGGGAGGAACACCAGUGGCGAAGGCGGCGAUCUGGGAAGAUACGUGACGCUGAGGUGCGAAAGCGUGGGAGCAAACAGG
rnacentral:rRNA from 1 species